GUCGAAUUCUCUUAAUUUUCAGCAACUUACCGCGUCACACGCCGAAUCAUAAUCCGCAGGUCCGGGGUUCGAGUCCCUGAUUCGCCACCA
rnacentral:tRNA from 1 species